rnacentral:lncRNA from 10 species
AUCCAACAUUCACAUUAUUGUAAUCUGGAAAGAAGAGGACAAAGUGGUCUUUGUGGGAUAAAACUUUGAACAAUUAAUAGCUGAAAAUGGUUCAAAUUUGUCAAAAGAUAUAAACCAGAUUUUUAAAGUUCAGUAAAUGUCAAUCAGGAUAAACCCAAAGAAACCCAUAGCAAGGCAUAUCAUAAUCAAACUGCUGAAAACUAAGAAAAUACAAAACAAUUUUGAAAGCAGCCAAAGGGAAAUGAAAGAGAAACUACCAUAUGAAUGAUUGUAGAUUUCGCAUCAGGAACCAUAGGGGCCAGAAAAAAUGUCAUAACAUUCGGAAGACUGCUGGAAAAGAAUUGGCAAAGAUUUGAGAUAAGAAAAAUGAUACCAGAAGGAAACUUAGAACAUCAUCAGUGAAGGAACAAAAGCAGAAAUAGAAAAUGUCUGGGUAGACAUAACAGACUAUUAUUCUUCCCUUGAGUUCCUUAAGGAGACUACGGAAAAGAAGAGUGACUAAGAUCUCUGAAGAAGGGAAAAGCUAGAUGACUGGGCCACAAGAGGAAAAAAAGCAGCAAGACAGAGAUUUGUUGGUGCCAACUAAAUGAGCCUAACAGCCAGUGACAACAGAACUGCACUAAAAAAAGUCCCUCAUCAGCUCUUGAGAGCAGGUUCCUUAAAG